CGAAUGAACAGGGAAAGGUUCAAACCGAAUCGCUUCGGGAAACCGAUUGCGAGUUGUGGUGUAAGGUUAGCUUCUGAAGCAUAAAUGUCCAACGAUGAGUUCGGUUGAAUACGGCAUAUUUCCAAAGAGGGUGACAGACCCAUAUUCGUUGUGCGUUUAUGCUUAAGAGUUGGCCUGAGAGUCGAAUUGUUUGAGAUUGCAAUUCAAACAUGUGUGGUAAACUCCAUACAAAACUUAAUAUGGCGAC
rnacentral:rRNA from 1 species